GAUGAAGAACGUAGUGAAAUGCGAUAAGUAAUGUGAAUUGCAGAAUUCAGUGAAUCAUCGAAUCUUUGAACGCACAUUGCGCCCGCCAGUACUCUGGCGGGCAUGCCUGUUCGAGCGUCAUUUCAACCAUCAAGCCCCCAGGGGCUUGUGCUGGGGCCCUGCGGCUGCCCGCAGGCCCUGAAAACCAGUGGCGGGCUCGCUAGUCACACCGAGCGCAGUAGCACAUCUCGCUCAGGGCGUGCGGCGGGCUCCUGCCGUGAAACCCCCCACUGUAACCCCAAAGGUUGACCUCGGAUCAGGUAGGAAUACCCGCUGAACUUAAGCAUAUCAAUAAGCGGAGGA
rnacentral:misc_RNA from 1 species